rnacentral:rRNA from 1 species
GAUGAACGCUAGCGGCAGGCCUAAUACAUGCAAGUCGAACGGUGAUAGCAAUAUCAUAGUGGCGCACGGGUGCGUAACACGUAUGCAACCUACCUAUUAUUGGGGGAUAGCCUUUGGAAACGGAGAUUAAUACCGCAUAAUACGAUUGACUGGCAUCGGUUGAUUGUUAAAGCUUCGGCGAUAAUAGAUGGGCAUGCGUCCAAUUAGUUAGUUGGUGAGGUAAUGGCUCACCAAGACGAUGAUUGGUAGGGGAUCUGAGAGGAUAAUCCCCCACCCUGGCAGUGGGAUACGGGACAGACUCCUACGGGAGGCAGCAGUAGGGAAUAUUGGGCAAUGGAGGGAACUCUGACCCAGCCAUGCCGCGUGCAGGAAGAAGGCGUUAUGCGUUGUAAACUGCUUUUGUAUAGGAAGAAGGAUCUCUUGCGAGAGAAGGUGACGGUACUAUAAGAAUAAGCACCGGAUAACUCCGUGCCAGCAGCCGCAGUAACAC